rnacentral:rRNA from 1 species
AACGAACGCUGGCGGCAUGCCUAGCGCAUGCAAGUCGAACGAGGCCUUCGGGUCUAGUGGCGCACGGGUGCGUAACGCGUGGGAACCUGCCCUUAGGUUCGGAAUAACUCCCCGAAAGGGGUGCUAAUACCGGAUAAUGUCUUCGGACCAAAGAUUUAUCGCCUUUGGAUGGGCCCGCGUUGGAUUAGCUAGUUGGUAGGGUAAAAGCCUACCAAGGCGACGAUCCAUAGCUGGUCUGAGAGGAUGAUCAGCCACACUGGGACUGAGACACGGCCCAGACUCCUACGGGAGGCAGCAGUGGGGAAUAUUGGACAAUGGGCGAAAGCCUGAUCCAGCAAUGCCGCGUGAGUGAUGAAGGCCUUAGGGUUGUAAAGCUCUUUUACCCGGGAUGAUAAUGACAGUACCGGGAGAAUAAGCUCCGGCUAACUCCGUG